UACAGAGGUCUCAAGCGUUUGUUCGGAUUCAUUGGGCGUAAAGGGUGCGUAGGUGGUGAUGCAAGUCUGGUGUGAAAUCUCGGAGCUCAACUCCGAAAUUGCACCGGAUACUGCGUGACUCGAGGACUGUAGAGGAGAUCGGAAUUCACGGUGUAGCAGUGAAAUGCGUAGAUAUCGUGAGGAAGACCAGUGGCGAAGGCGGGUCUCUGGACAGUUCCUGACGCUGAGGCACGAAGGUCAGGGGAGCAAACGGG
rnacentral:rRNA from 1 species